rnacentral:lncRNA from 1 species
GCUUAAAGCUUGGCUCACAGCUGUCCAGAGAGCAUUGUGGUAUUGCAGUCCCUAGAUGAUACCUGAAAGCUACUGGUCAUAUCCUUCACUCCAGAAAAAGAGUGCACAAAUAAACCCCAAAAGAGCUGCAAAGCUCCAUGCUAUAACUGAUGAAGUAGCUUCAUUGUUUUGUAGCAAACGAAAAAAUGCCUUGUUUUCCUGGCAGGGGCAGGAGGCAGCUGCACAUCUUCACAUUUGGACUAAGCUGGCCAGUCCCAAGGCAGCUCUCAUCCAGGAGCCAAGGAUCUGCAAUGCAGACAUGAGUAUCACUGCCUUCAAUUUUACAGAUCAGAAAACUGAAACACAAAAAGUCUCCUUUGAGAUUAAAUGCAGCCAAACAAAUUUGGAAGAUUUUCACUCUGUUAUGGGCAAUAAGGAAUAUUUCCUAUAGCAAUUCCCAUUCUGUUAAUACCAGCCAUGAGAUAGCAACAGCUGUCCUGUGCAGGGCCAGGAGCUGGACUUUCAGGAUCUUUGUGGAGCCCUUCCAGCUCAAGAUAUUCCACGAUUCUGGGAUUCCAAGGGUCUGCAGUGGAUUUAUGGUAAAGCAAAAGGGAAGAAAGCUGUGGAGCUUCUUUGCAGGAGGAUGCUUCCAGGACAAGCUUCUGCCUCCAGAGCCAGCACAGGGCUUUUGGAUUUCAGCAGUAUGGCACAGAAACCCUGCAGGGAUGGAGACACUUUUCCUGGUGGUGUUUGUCCCAGCCUGCCCUGCCAGGUGUGUGCAGCAGGGGGAAGGACCCAGGGCUGUGGCCAGGAGCACCAUGGCUGGUGGUGAAUUGAACAGAGAGAAGAUGGUCACAUAUUUAGCAUGGAAGCUUUGUGGGCACCUUUCUAACCCCGUGGGAUCACUGGAGAAGAUAACUCAGGAAGGGGAUGGAACAGCAGUGUCUGUCUGUGUGCAAAGCUCAAGGACACAGGUACAGAAGAACGUGGCACCUCCCAGGCAAACCCUCCUGUCCUACAGUGCCCAGACCCAGGCAAGCACAGGGAACAAGACCAUGACUGAGACAGCCCAAGCUUUGUAG